rnacentral:rRNA from 1 species
UACAGAGGGGGCAAGCGUUGUUCGGAAUUACUGGGCGUAAAGGGCUCGUAGGUUGCCAACUAAGUCAGACGUGAAAUCCCUCGGCUUAACCGGGGAACUGCAUCUGAUACUGGAUGGCUUGAGUUCGGGAGAGGGAUGCGGAAUUCCAGGUGUAGCGGUGAAAUGCGUAGAUAUCUGGAGGAACACCGGUGGCGAAGGCGGCAUCCUGGACCGACACUGACGCUGAGGAGCGAAAGCCAGGGGAGC